CGCGCGCUCUGAUUGGCUGAGCGAAGGAAGAGGCCUCUUCCCCCCGCCGCCCGCGAGCUUGGGGAUGGAGUCCCGGAGCGGCUCUAGCUGGGAAGCAGAACCCCUGUGGCGACAGGACUCCCAGGAGCCAUGUUGUCAGAAGUCCUGCUAGUGUCUGCUCCAGGGAAAGUCAUCCUUCAUGGAGAGCAUGCCGUGGUCCAUGGCAAGGUAGCACUGGCUGUGGCCUUGAACUUGAGAACAUUCCUCCGGCUUCAGCCCCACAGCAAUGGGAAAGUGGGCCUCAACUUACCCAACAUUGGCAUCCAGCGGGUCUGGGAUGUGGCCAAGCUUCAGAUGCUGGACACCAGCUUUCUGAAGCAAGGUGACGUCACAGCACUCACCCCGGAGCAAAUGGAGAAGCUGAAGGAGGUGGCGGGCUUCCCCGAGGACUGUGCCGACCACGAGCACCUGGCUGUGCUGUCCUUCCUUUACUUGUACCUGUCCAUCUGCCAGAGUCAGAGAGCCCUGCCCAGCCUGGACAUUGCCGUGUGGUCGGAGCUGCCCACCGGGGCCGGGCUCGGCUCCAGUGCCGCCUACUCCGUGUGUUUGGCGGCUGCCCUCCUGACUGCGUGCAAGGAGAUCCCAAACCCACUGAAGGAUGGCGAGGCCGCCAGCAGGUGGACUGAGGAGAGCUUGGAACUAAUUAACAAGUGGGCCUUCCAGGGGGAGAGGGUGAUUCAUGGGAACCCCUCCGGAGUGGACAACGCCGUCAGCACCUGGGGAGGAGCGCUCCGAUACCAGCAAGGGAAGAUUUCAUCCUUAAAUAGGCCGCCAGCUCUGAAGAUCCUGCUGACCAACACCAAAGUCCCUCGCAGCACCAAGGCCCUGGUGGCCGGCGUCAGGAGCAGGCUGCUGAAGUUCCCAGAGAUCGUGGCCCCCCUUCUGACCUCCAUAGACGCCAUUUCCCUGGAGUGCGAGCGGUUGCUGGGGGAGAUGGCGGCGGCCCCGGCCCCAGAGCACUACCUCGUGCUGGAGCCGCUGAGAUGUGCAGUUCGCCUCCCGGACAGCUCUGCGCUCAAGCCAGCGAGCUGUUCUCCUGUGUCACAGCCUGUCAUCUGAUCCUUGACAGAUUUUGGAUCAGAAUGUGACAGGUGUCUGGAACCUGCCUUGGCAACGUGACACCUGGUGCUCAGGCGCAGAGAGAGGCCCCCAGAAGUUUUCCCUCCCAUCCAGCCCUCGGGGCCGGUGAAAGGCACCCGAGGCUGCCACCGGGCCAUCACGCCUGUCUGCUCGUUUGUCAAAAGUACUGGGGUGUGUGAGGCGGGCUGCGGGGGGGAGGCAGACCCGACCCUGCCCGACGGCUCCAGGCAGGAGAACCAGGUGGGCCUCGGCAGACAGCCCUGUGAUUGGCAACCCUUAUGGCACACAGGCGCUCCCAGGACCCCGGGGCAGAGCUGCAUGCUGUCAAGCCGCACACGGCAAGAAGUGGGUGGCAGGAGGGAUGCCAAGGGUGCUCUCAGAGGCGGGGUAGAUGCACGCUUCACAUCAGGCAGACCCGGCUUCCCGUGCCAGCUCAGUACUUUACUAGCUCAGUGACCUUAGGCAAAUCACUUUCUCCUCUGAGCCUGUUUUCCCCUUUGAAAAAUGGGGAUGAUAGUAAUGCAACCAUAAAAGUACUAACAGCAGCUGACGUUUGCCAAGCACUUACCCCAUUCCACACAUCAUGUGAAAGAUACCUCAUUCCAUCCUCACAGCAAUGAGGCAGAUACUCUUACAAUCCCUGCUUUACAAGGGGGGAAACUGAGGCUCAAAGUGAAAGACCUCUUCCCAAGACACACGACCAAGAAGUGGCAGAGCUGGGACCCAAACCCAGGCCCCUCUGCCUCCAGAUCCCACAUUUGUAACUUCCCUGCAGACCGGAGCUCAUCCUCAGAGCCUCAGCAUCUUGCAGGGUGCCAGCAGCAUGUUGAAGGGAUUUGCCAGACGCGAUGGAGUAAAUGAAAUGAGCUCAUCGACAUGAACCAGCACCAUCUGAAUGCCCUUGGUGUGGGCCAUGCCUCGCUGGACCGGCUGUGCCAGGUGACCAUGGCCCACGGACUGCACAGCAAGCUCAC